AAAUUUGGUUUUGGUUCUGUUAAUUUUUGGUACUCAGCCUUGACUACUACAUCGACUUCCAAAUCGUUGUCGCCAAGUUUUUUACAUCCUUAACCACGAUAAUUAGCCAUCCACAGUAUGGUUGCCAACCAACGGUAAAUUCCAGCAAACAAUGUUAUCCGUAACAUUGCUUACUUCCAUCCUCAGCUCCAACAUCAUUGGCUUUCUUCUUCAAUUUCAUUCUCUGAUUUCUUUGCCACUCAGAUUCUCGAGAGAAAUUGAUUGCUAUAAAUUUCAACAUCCUCAACCUCCAAGCAGAGCAUGAUUAGGUAGAAGAAUGGAGGAGAGGGAGAAAGCAAAGCAAUCUGUGAAAUCAGAGGACUUCGGUUUGGCAUCAUUAGAUAGAAAAGAGAGCACAUGAGUGAUAGGUUUUUGAUUUGAGAGACUUUUCACACAACGGUAACUAUUUGGUUGUGAUUUUUGAGUAAAAUCCUAAAAUUAGGGACUUCGACAAAAGGGCUAAUUGCAAAAAGAGUCGAUUCCUAAGGGCCAUGUAAUUUGGUUUAGAAAAGUAAAGAAUAGGAUAUAUAUUAUUUGAUUCCAAAAAUGUAGAAAUAGAAUUAUCUAUAAAUUUGAAGCGGAGGGAAACUUACUAUCUGAGUCCUUCCUUUUUCCAGAUUGUCUAUCUCUCAACUGUUUGAAUGACGAACUGCUAGGGACAGGACGAGACUUGCUAGAACCAGAAAGGUCACUUGUAGCAGGAGCAGGGGAUGCCCCUAACUUUCCCACCUGCCCAUUUGGUAUGUCA
rnacentral:lncRNA from 1 species